rnacentral:rRNA from 1 species
UACAGAGGUCCCGAGCGUUGUUCGGAUUCACUGGGCGUAAAGGGUGCGUAGGUGGUGAGGUAAGUCGGAUGUGAAAUCUCCGGGCUCAACCCGGAAAUGGCAUUGGAAACUACCUUGCUUGAGGGUUUGAGGGGGGAUUGGAAUACUUGGUGUAGCAGUGAAAUGCGUAGAUAUCAAGUGGAACACCAGUGGCGAAGGCGAAUCCCUGGAAAAUACCUGACACUGAGGCACGAAAGCUAGGGGAGCAAACAGG